AUGUAUGUUUGGCCGUAUUUUAUGUUAGUUGGGACGCUAUCGAGAAAGAGAGAUGGACUGCAGCGUCAGUGAGUCCCGAACCGUUGUUGAGUACACAUACGUUGUUCUGAUCUCGUUGCGGAAAGUCGGAUUCUAUCAACGCUUAUUUCAAAUGUCUUUUACGAAGAAAUCUGCACCAUAGGAUUUUAAAUUUUUCUCUGGUUCUAUCGACGAAAAUCGCUUUCAUUUUUUUAUGUAUUUGAAUCGUUCCACCUUUCUUUAUCGGGCACCUUAGAGACUUAAUGUCGGUUUUCUCAAAUCACUUAACUCUGAGGUGACAAAAAAUUUACAACAAAAGAAACAAAAAAAACACAUCUCUGAAUGACAUUAAAAAUGGCUUUUUAUUUCGUAUCGUUAUCGCCACAUAUUAGCGCAGACGAGUGCAUACAGAAAGAUAGAGACAAAGGAUAUGCCCAUUUCGCUUCACUACCAAAACGAUUUGGACUUGUAUGAAACUUCGGCAUGGCUAAUCUAUUUUCGGAUGGAAAGGACAAGAAGAUUACAAGAAAUCACCUCCCACGCACGAUCACCGACAUAUUAUUGCGAAAGAUAUGUAACAAAAUGAACAAAACCUAAAGAAAACGCAGAAAAACAAGAUGGCGUCUUCCCGCCCAGCCCUUAGGCGGUUAGCAACAGCCAUUGUGUGUGUGUUGUGUUUUCCUGUAGAAAGAACUCGAGCUGCGGGGCCAAGGGGAGGGCAAGGCAAGCUGUUCUCUCAUGCCUAGUUUUCCAUCGGCGUAAAGCAAUACUUCAAAUCCAAUUUAAUAGACACUCAUGUCAAUUUCUCCUCCAAUUUCAAGAAAAGAAUAUUGACCUUAUUUACGGUGCAGUGCAAUUUGGAUUAUUUUAUAGAGUUAAAGUUGACAAGGCGUUGGUUAGAAAAAAAUGCUGACCUAACUAACAGUUUAUUCUUUUCCUUUUUCUGAAAACAAGUCUAUUGACGAUCGGUUGGCUGCGCCAGGCGCUUCACCAGCUGGGGCGGAGUCUAUAAAAUGAUGGUCGGCUAUUGGUGGCCUGCUGGCAAAAUGGUUGCUGGGUCGCCUGUCUGCCUCCAACGUUUCAUCAGCCUUCUCCUUUCGAAUUUUUCCGUUACGAGAGAAUGAAGGAACUCCCCCCCCCCCCUCCUAAUCCAUAUAUAAAUAAGUAUAAAGCACAGAGCCAUCUAGGCAACGGUAGUACAGUAGAAUUGCCACACGAUUGCUACUAGUAUGCAAACGUAAAUUUCCAUGGCUAUUCUCGUUUCUUUGCUUUUUUUUCUGCUUAUAGUUGAAAUCUGGAAGUAAGUGAGAGACCUGUUUUUUAUGCCCGCGGAUGUGUAAUUAAAAACUUAGCCCGCGUGCUUUUUCUUUUUGCCUGAGGAUGACUCACCAUUAAACGGAUCAAGGUCUAAAGUUCAGCGACUCAUGCGCAACACGAUCGGGUCGGAAGAGAAACUCGCCACAUACCGCAAAUGGCGUGCUGUACAUUUACAUCACUAAACCCCUACAUGCGAUGGAAACUUGGUUGUUUCGUUCACAAAAGAUUGCUGUAGAAUCGAAACUUUCGCCUGUUACCUACAUCCGAUAAGUCUUAUCUACUAGGCAAAUUUUUUUUGGGGGUUCCAUUUUUGUUUUCUCCCGUUUGUCAACCACGAUUUGUUGCUGUGGUUGCUUCAGAUAUUGCAACAACGAAUGUUUAUGUUCAAAAUUUAUCAUCCCACUUGGUCACAACUAAAUAAAACUAAAAAUCUUUCAAAUGAAGCUCAGCCAACAAAUCAGAGUAGACUAGAAUCAACAAUCAAGGACUGUAUUUCUUGAUGAUGGCGGAUCUCUACUCCAUCUAUCAGUCGUUUUUACUACUACACCAACGGACUUCUACAACACGCAUGCUUCAGCAAACCACCCCAUCAAUAAAAACUUUUUGCUAAUCAUGCUCGUUGGCUGGCUGAAAAGUUUCCGCGUGGCACUAUUACGGAAUUCCCUAUAUUGGCUGUUGUAAUGGUUGCCCUUAAUUUAAAAAUAUUUCGAAAAUUUUAAAAAAGUUAUCAAAACAUUAAAGUGUAAUAAGACAGCCUGGGCCAAAAGUUGUGAGCGGAGAUUUAUUUAUUCCGAUUACCAAUCAUUGAUAAUACAUUUUUAAAAAUUGUGUAAAAUAGCUCGCUAUUUCGUUAUUAACAGUUUAGAGAGUUCAUGGUAAUAAACCCGUAAUUUCUUUUC